rnacentral:rRNA from 1 species
AUUGAACGCUGGCGGCAGGCCUAACACAUGCAAGUCGAACGAGUGGCGGACGGGUGAGUAAUGUCUGGGAAACUGCCCGAUGGAGGGGGAUAACUACUGGAAACGGUAGCUAAUACCGCAUACCAUCGGAUGUGCCCAGAAGGGGUUAGCGUGGAAGUGAGGUAACGGCUCACCUAGGCGACGAUCCCUAGAUGGUCUGUGAGGAUGACCAGACACACUGGAACUGAGACACGGUCCAGACUCCUACGGCAGUCAUCAGUGGGGAAUAUUGCACAAUGGGCGCAAGCCUGAGUCAGCCAUGCCGCGUGUAUGAAGAAGGCCUUCGGGUUGUAAAGUACUUUCAGCGGGGAGGCGUUACCCGCAGAAGAAGCACCGGCUAACUCCGUGCCAGCCGCCGCGGUAAUUC